GCGUCGGUAGUGCAAUGGUUCAGCACGCGCCUUCACACAGGGCGAAAUCUGGGUCGAAUCCCAGCUGACGCA